UGGCUGCAAUUACAACAAGAAGUGAAGGA
rnacentral:piRNA from 1 species